AACCCUAAAUUUCUUUCGGUUAGACCAUUCAUCUUCCUCGCCGGUCACAGCCACUUGCCUCAUCGUUCUCAUUUUUUUCUUCUCAUCUUUCUCAUUUUUUUCUUCUCAUCUUUCUCGUCCUCUUGGAACAUAACAUCUUAUUCCUCCUACUCUUCUUCUUCUUCUUCUUCUUCUUCAUGAUUGCUGACAAGUGGCAGACAUUUGCAUGUGAAAGGACUUUGUUGAGCAUCAAAGAGAGAUUAUCUCACAACGAUCGUGUCGCCCAACACUCACAAGCCGCUCCAUCUAUGUGCGAAGGACAAGCAUCGCGCCAUCAAAGGAUCACUCAGCAGUGGGACAUCAUGCAGUAAUGCCUACAGUAUGAUGAAUCCUUUACUGAUAUAGAACAGCUUGGUCUUGCUUCAGCUGAAUAUCCAAUUCUUCCCGAGUGCUAAAAUCUCAUGUAUCUGACCUUAACAGAAUAUACUGCAUUGAGGGAAAAUUUUGGGAGAAUUGCAUGCUUGAGAGAGCUAAUACAAUAGCAGCAAUGCUGGGAGAACUUGGUUCUGCACUUUCAUUGAAGGAAAAAACAUGGAUGUCAAUGAGUCCUGAUGAGUUAACGACCAUAAUCCAAAGCGUUGGGGAUGCUUUGAAAGUUGGAUUCAAACUUGAUUGUCUAAAGCCUGUUUUAGAGAAAGCUAAAACAGUGUUGUGUUCUUUCAACACUCGUCGUCGGUUGGAGGCAUUACAGAAGGAAAAAAGUUCUCUAGAAACUGAACUUCAGACUGUAAUUUCUCUUGAACUAGAUCUAACGCCGAAGGACUUGAUUUAGAAUGUAGAUGUAGUCGCCAGAUGCAAAAACAUCAUAUUCAUACUUCACAAGUCCAGUCUUCUCAAGUAGCUCACAAAAUCGUGAGAAUGACUCAAUCUUUAAGCUGCAAUGAGCAGGUGGCAUGUUCCUUUUUUAUCUUCUAAUGCCUUUCUCAAGAGAGUAUCUGGAGAAUAUUAUGCUAUGUUUGAAUAACAACAUUUGAAAGUAAUGAUUUUAGUUUAAUUUUAAUGUAAAUUAUUAAUAAAUUAUGGAUUUUAAAUA